UUAAGUUCAGCGGGUAGUCCUACCUGAUUUGAGGUCAAAUUGUCAAGGUAUUGUCCUUGCGGACGGUUAGAAGCAAGUCUGAACCUCGUCCACGGCGUAGAUAAUUAUCACACCAAUAGACGGAGCUCAGUAUGAACUCGCUAAUGCAUUUCAGGGGAGCAGACCGCCAGAAAGGCAGCCUGCACAAACCCCCACAUCCA
rnacentral:misc_RNA from 1 species